rnacentral:rRNA from 1 species
AUUGAACGCUGGCGGCAUGCCUUACACAUGCAAGUCGAACGGCAGCACGGACUUCGGUCUGGUGGCGAGUGGCGAACGGGUGAGUAAUGUAUCGGAACGUACCUUAGAGUGGGGAUAACGUAGCGAAAGUUACGCUAAUACCGCAUAUUCUGUGCGCAGGAAAGCAGGGGAUCGCAAGACCUUGUGCGCUUUGAGCGGCCGAUAUCAGAUUAGCUAGUUGGUGAGGUAAAAGGUCACCAAGGCGACGAUCUGUAGCGGGUCUGAGAGGAUGAUCUGCAAGACUGGAACUGAGACACGGUCCAGACUCCUACGGGAGGCAGCAGUGGGGAAUUUUGGACAAUGGGGGCAAGCCUGAUCCAGCCAUGCCGCGUGAGUGAAGAAGGCCUUCGGGUUGUAAAGCUCUUUCAGCCGGGAAGAAAUCGCAUAGGCUAAUACCCUGUGCGGAUGACGGUACCGGAAUAAGAAGCACCGGCUAACUACGUGCCAGCCGCCGCGGUAAAAC